rnacentral:tRNA from 1 species
GGAUUGUGGCUCAGUGGUAGAGCACGUGCCUAGCACUUAUGAGGUCCUGGGUUCAAUCCUCAGCACCA